rnacentral:misc_RNA from 1 species
GAUGAAGAACGUAGCGAAAUGCGAUAAGUAGUGUGAAUUGCAGAAUUCAGUGAAUCAUCGAAUCUUUGAACGCACAUUGCGCCCGCUAGUAUUCUGGCGGGCAUGCCUGUUCGAGCGUCAUUUCAACCAUCAAGCCCUGUUUAGGCUUGUGUUGGGGCCCUGCGGUUGCCGCAGCCCCCUAAAUGCAGUGGCGGGCUCGUUGUCACUCCGAGCGCAGUAGCGUAUCUCGCUCUGGGCGUGGCGGCGGGUGCUAGCCGUGAAACACCCACUAAGGUUGACCUCGGAUAAGGUAGGAAUACCCGCUGAACUUAAGCAUAUCAAUAAGCGGAGGA